AUUGAACGCUGGCGGCAGGCCUAACACAUGCAAGUCGAACGGUAACAGGGAUCAGCUUGCUGAUUCGCUGACGAGUGGCGGACGGGUGAGUCAUGUCUGGGAAACUGCCUGAUGGAGGGGGAUAACUACUGGAAACGGUAGCUAAUACCGCAUAACGUCGCAAGACCAAAGAGGGGGACCUUCGGGCCUCUUGCCAUCGGAUGUGCCCAGAUGGGAUUAGCUAGUAGGUGGGGUAACGGCUCACCUAGGCGACGAUCCCUAGCUGGUCUGAGAGGAUGACCAGCCACACUGGAACUGAGACACGGUCCAGACUCCUACGGGAGGCAGCAGUGGGGAAUAUUGCACAAUGGGCGCAAGCCUGAUGCAGCCAUGCCGCGUGUAUGAAGAAGGCCUUCGGGUUGUAAAGUACUUUCAGCGGGGAGGAAGGGAGUAAAGUUAAUACCUUUGCGCAUUGACGUUACCCGCAGAAGAAGCACCGGCUAACUCCGUG
rnacentral:rRNA from 1 species